GGUGGCGUAGCCAAGUGGUAAGGCAGGGGCCUGCAAAGCCCCCAUUCGCCAGUUCAAAUCUGGCCGCCACCU
rnacentral:tRNA from 1 species